rnacentral:piRNA from 1 species
UGAUACUCACCUUUAGUGGUUUGAGGAGA